CAGCCGCCGCGGUAAUACCGGCGGCCCGAGUGGCGGCCACUAUUAUUGGGCUUAAAGCGUCCGUAGCCGGGUUGGUUAGUCUCCCGGGAAAUCUGGCCGCUUAACGGUCAGAAUUCCGGGAGAUACUGCCAGCCUAGGGACCGGGAGAGGCCGAGGGUAUUCCCGGAGUAGGGGUGAAAUCCUAUAAUCCCGGGAGGACCACCUGUGGCGAAGGCGCUCGGCUGGAACGGGUCCGACGGGGAGGGACGAAGGCCAGGGGAGCAAACCGGAUUAGAUACCCGGGUAGUCCUGGCUGUAAACGAUGCGGACUUUGUGUCGGACAAGCUAUGAGCUUGUCCGGUGCCGGAGGGAAACCGUUAAGUCCGCCGCCUGGGGAGUACGGCCGCAAGGCUGAAACUUAAAGGAAUUGGCGGG
rnacentral:rRNA from 1 species